GACGAACGCUGGCGGCGUGCUUAACACAUGCAAGUCGAACGGUGAAAGCGGAGCUUGCUCCGCUGGAUCAGUGGCGAACGGGUGAGUAACACGUGGGCAACCUGCCCCUCACUUCGGGAUAACUCCGGGUAACCGGGGCUAAUACCGGAUAUGACCUCCUUGGGCAUCCUUGGAGGUGGAAAGUUUUUUGGUGAGGGAUGGGCCCGCGGCCUAUCAGCUUGUUGGUGAGGUAGUGGCUCACCAAGGUGACGACGGGUAGCCGGCCUGAGAGGGCGACCGGCCACACUGGGACUGAGACACGGCCCAGACUCCUACGGGAGGCAGCAGUGGGGAAUAUUGCGCAAUGGGCGAAAGCCUGACGCAGCAACGCCGCGUGCGGGAUGACGGCCUUCGGGUUGUAAACCGCUUUCAGCAGGGAAGAAGCCGCAAGGUGACGGUACCUGCAGAAGAAGCACCGGCUAACUACGUGCCAGCCGCCGCGGUAA
rnacentral:rRNA from 1 species